AUUGGAGGAGAGCCCAAGAGAAAUUUUUCAUCCCUUGAUAGAAAAGGGAUCGGUGAAUUUUAACUUUGGAGUCCUCUAUGCUAAGGAUGCUCAGCCUACAGAUGAUGAAAUGUUCAGUAAUGUAUUUGCUGCAGCUCUGCUUACCCAAGCUUUGGGUUCCUUCUGUCCCACUGGGAGUUGCCCUGUUUGGUUGCAUCUGGUGAAAUUCACCCCGAGACCUUACAGAACUAGCUCAAACUACGUGAGAGCCAUUUGCAGUUCUCUCCACACACCUGGAGAAUGGGUGACGUUUCUGAGGAUGUGGCAACUGUACUUCUAUCAAAACUCAGUCUGUGAAAUUUCUGGGGAAACCCCUUCUGUGUCCUGAAGGGCUCAAACUCUGCUGAGGAUCCAGUUAUCAGGUGCUCACCUGGAUGG